UACGUAGGGUGCAAGCGUUAAUCGGAAUUACUGGGCGUAAAGCGUGCGCAGGCGGUUUGCUAAGACCGAUGUGAAAUCCCCGGGCUUAACCUGGGAACUGCAUUGGUGACUGGCAAGCUAGAGUGUGGCAGAGGGGGGUAGAAUUCCACGUGUAGCAGUGAAAUGCGUAGAGAUGUGGAGGAAUACCGAUGGCGAAGGCAGCCCCCUGGGCUAACACUGACGCUCAUGCACGAAAGCGUGGGGAGCAAACAGG
rnacentral:rRNA from 1 species